ensembl:lncRNA
UCCGUCCGUCAGCUCGGACCGGAGCUCCGCCCUCCUCUCCGCGUCCCGCCGGGCCGACAGGUAGCUGGGCGAGGAAGACCACGAUGAGGAGGAGGAGGAGGUCGAUGAAGGUCUGGAGGAGGAGAGGCCAGCGGAGAGACCAGUGGAGCGCCGGAGAGCGGCGUCUGUCCGGUCACUAGAAUCUUGGAGAGGGACACGAGACGGGGUGAACAAGAUUCUUAUUCUGCAGCAUCACAACAGAACACUGGACUCUGGUACCUAGACACGCACUAGGCUGCAUAGAGUCAUGUCUGAAUUUAAAAUAAAAGUUCAGUAUGCUUUGAACGAUAAACCAUUGUGUGACACGUCAAAGCCAUGGUGGCGCUGGUAAUCAACCUGCAGUUAAAAACCCAUAGUCCCUUUUAAAGCAUUAGUUAUUAAUACCAUUUACCGUUGUCGUCACAUUAAUAUGAAUCCCCAUCAUCAAGUCUACAGCAGUACCAGAGCUACCACCUGUACAGGUGUAUCGUGCGGUCUCAUGAUACCAUCGUGGUUAAGGUUACCUGUGCUACAGGUGUAUCGUGCGGUCUCAUGAUACCAUCAUGGCUAAGGUUACCUGUGUUACAGGUGUAUUGUGCGGUCUCAUGAUACCAUCGUGGUUAAGGUUACCUGUGCUACAGGUGUAUCGUGCCGUCUCAUACCGUUAAGGUUACCUGUGCUACAGGUGUAUCGUGCGGUCUCAUGAUACCAUCAUGGUUAAGGUUACCUGUGCUACAGGUGUAUCGUGCCGUCUCAUGAUACCAUCGUGGUUAAGGUUACCUGUGCUACUGGUCAGCCUGCUGCUGGAGUACAGGGACCCGGGGGUAGUGGAGGAGCCCAGGCUGCUCCGGGGAUACGCUGCAGUGCUGCUGCUGUAGGAGAGCUUGGCGCGCUUGGACUCUCCGUCGUCAGAGGCCAGCAGGCCGGAGUACGAGCCCAGCCGCCGCUCCGAGCUCUGGGGAGGCAGGGAGCCAGAGGUCAGGCUUCAGCGGUCAGUCAACGAGCAGACGCGCCUGUUCAAGGCAGCUUGGUGGAGGUCUAGAUACACGUCUUUGAGGAGUGGGUAGAGGUCAGGGUAGGGCCGGGCGAUAGUUGAAUAUUUUAUAUUCUUUAAACUGUAUUGCAUCAUCAAAAAAAUGAAGAUACACGCCGUGAUGUCGUUUUAUUGUAUAAACGAAUUUACAAUGAGAAGAUAUGCCCUUAAAGAUAAUCAAAUACGUAGAAGUAUGAAUGCUGUACGUUUUGUGAAUUCAACAGUGUAUUUGAGGAUAGCAGUUGCUCCUACACACAGUAGUCGUGUCACCUGAUGCCUUUGAACAUUUCCAAAGCAUGUUUACCAUUCAAAUGACCCCCAACCACAGUGACCCUUCACCCUUCCUGUAGACACAGUCUCCCCUCAUGCCAGGUUGUGCAUCGCCCCCCCUCCUCCUGCAGCAGCAGCGUACCAGCUUGUCCUGGCUGAGGAGCGAGGGGCUGGCCCAGGGCCUCUCAUACGACGAGGUGGUGGCGCUCAGGGACGAGGGCACCUUCCAGCUGGGGGCCCGGGUGGAGGCGGUCCCCCCGCCAUACUCUCUGCUGGAGCUCAGGUACCGCGAGCCCUGUGACACACACACACACACACACACACACACACACACACACACACACACACACACACACACACACACACACACACACACACACACACACACACACACACACACACACACACACACACACACACCCCAAGUUGGGUUAAUCAUUCGGAAGGUUGGGGUCAGCUUGGAUCAUUAAAAUGGGGGAUAGUGUGACAAAAGGAUGCAUGGGAAUACUAUAGCAUUGUGUUGUUAGUUUUUCAACCAUUUAUUUUAGUUAGAACACUUCUACUGCACAACGGUCAGAUCAAGACACCCUAUUCACUUGUACCACUGGCAGAUCAAGACAACAUAAUCAUUGGUACUUUACCACUGGCAGAUCAAGACACCAUAUUAACAUCCAACACCAAUUUCCUGAAAUUAAACAGCAUUGCGUUCCUCAAUUUACACAGUGAAGAUCUGAGAAGUCUGGAAUUAUAAUAUUGCACCAACACAACACACUUCAAUAUAUUCUACUAGCCUCGUGUUCUGAAGCCUAUAGCAACUCUGAGAGUUGUUUUUAGAAACUAGGUCACACACACACACUUUUUUUUUUUGGCAACUCCAAUUCUGAUUGUCCUUUGCCUCACACGCACGUCGCUCUGGAUAAAACUGUGCUGCCAAACUAACUGACUAGCAGUACUAAUAAGAGUGAGAUUAUGUGAGCAAGUUGCAGGUCUU